AGGAUAGAUGAAACUUGUCGUGUGAUACGAUCUAGUCGGUGAGAUAUAUAGUAAGGUCAGCGUACAUGCUCAGGACCAGAGUUACAGCACGUUGUGAGCUCCCGCACUUUUUGGCCUGGUAAAAGACCUUCCCAAAGAAAAGAAAAAAGUCUUUAUAGGAUUGAGAUGUAGCUCGGGCCUAUAAUAGCUUAAAGUAUGUAUCUUCCUUGCCACUCUCCUACAUAGCAGAGUACAGACUACAGUAUACAGUGGACAAGAAACCCAUCUUCACUUAGCAUUCCAUGCUAACUAACCUGAUUGCCAUUGCAAAUAAUCAACUCGUGAAUAUUUUUCCGAAAAUUUUCCAGAACCAUACUUCAAUAGUCUUCACUUAGCAUUCCAUGCUAACUAACCUGCAGCAGAAAAAGAAAAAGAAAAAGAAAAAACAGAUUUAGGACGACUUGAAUUGACCAAAUGAAGAAGGGUGACAGGGAGGAAAAAUAUGCAGAUACAACAGCCUUGGUGGAGAACAGGAGAGGCAUGGCCGGUGGACAUGGUAUUUCCGGAGGAAGAAGGGGGAAAGGUAUAAAGGGACGGGACGUACUCAUAUCAUAGGAGUGCAAAAUUGUAUCGCACCUCGACCAUCCGCCGGCACCGUUCCCUCGAGUGCCAUUAAUUGCUAUACGAAACAUACAGACGUCUGCUUGCUUGACUCCUCUUUUGAAAAACGACGGAUGAACUUCCCUGCAUCAGUCGGUGAGACCUUCUUCACAUCGAUUGGCAAGGCCCCAUGUC
rnacentral:lncRNA from 1 species